GAUGAAGAACGUAGCGAAAUGCGAUAAGUAAUGUGAAUUGCAGAAUUCAGUGAAUCAUCGAAUCUUUGAACGCACAUUGCGCCCGCUGGUAUUCCGGCGGGCAUGCCUGUUCGAGCGUCAUUUCAACCCUCAAGCCCCCCGGCUUGUGUUGGGGACCUGCGGCUGCCGCAGGCCCUGAAAAGCAGUGGCGGGCUCGCUGUCACACCGAGCGUAGUAGAUCUCAUCUCGCUCAGGGCGUGCUGCGGGUUCCGGCCGUUAAACCACCUUCAUAACCCAAGGUUGACCUCGGAUCAGGUAGGAAGACCCGCUGAACUUAAGCAUAUCAAUAAGCGGAGGA
rnacentral:misc_RNA from 1 species